CGGAAGGAACGCCCCGAACCACCUCCGGGGCGCGGAGGCUUGUUGGGAAGUUGUGCCGGGUUGGGGGUGCUGACUUCUAACCGUUAAGUGAUUAUAUGCUGUUCAGAGCAUGAAUAGGACAUGCUCAGAAAAUGGGCCACUUUCCCUCUUUUACCACCGUGGGGUGUUGCUGUAAGUGUUUCUCACAGUGCCCUGGACACCAGGGAGCUGUCCUCUUACCUUUUCGUUAAGUAGUAUCAAGCCGAGCAGGGGCCGGGACAUAGACCACUGGUUCCUGCAGUCUUCGAAGAUGAUGAUGUUCAGCACCGUUGACAGCAUCUGGAAAGGCAGAAUCUGAGGCAGUGACCUAGUGUGUGGCUACUCAAGACAGAAUUACAGAUUCCAAACAGAGGUGUUUAUUAAGUUGAAGGCCUUUUCUACCUAGAGUAAACCAGACGAGUAUUUCAUGAAGCUUCAUUUAAAUCUUCUAUUACAAGCCACGCCGUGCAGCAGGUGGGAUCUCAGUUCCCCGACCAGGGAUCGAACCCAUGCCCCCUGCAGGAAGCUCGGAGUCUCAACCAUUG